rnacentral:rRNA from 1 species
UCCAUGAUUCAGCGGCGGACGGGUGAGUAAUGCCUAGGAAUCUGCCUGGUAGUGGGGGACAACGUUUCGAAAGGAACGCUAAUACCGCAUACGUCCUACGGGAGAAAGUGGGGGAUCUUCGGGCCUCGCGCUAUCAGAUGAGCCUAGGUCGGAUUAGCUAGUUGGUGAGGUAAAGGCUCACCAAGGCGACGAUCCGUAACUGGUCUGAGAGGAUGAUCAGUCACACUGGAACUGAGACACGGUCCAGACUCCUACGGGAGGCAGCAGUGGGGAAUAUUGGACAAUGGGCGAAAGCCUGAUCCAGCCAUGCCGCGUGUGUGAAGAAGGUCUUCGGAUUGUAAAGCACUUUAAGUUGGGAGGAAGGGCAGUAAGUUAAUACCUUGCUGUUUUGACGUUACCGACAGAAUAAGCACCGGCUAACUUCGUGCCAGCAGCCGCGGUAAUACGAAGGGUGCAAGCGUUAAUCGGAAUUACUGGGCGUAAAGCGCGCGUAGGUGGUUCGUUAAGUUGGAUGUGAAAGCCCCGGGCUCAACCUGGGAACUGCAUCCAAAACUGGCGAGCUAGAGUAUGGCAGAGGGUGGUGGAAUUUCCUGUGUAGCG